CUACGGGGGGCUCCAGUGGGGAAUAUUGCACAAUGGAGGAAACUCUGAUGCAGCAACGCCGCGUGGAGGAUGACACUUUUCGGAGCGUAAACUCCUUUUAUAUAGGAAGAAGAUGACGGUACUAUAUGAAUAAGCGCCGGCUAACUCCGUGCCAGCAGCCGCGGUAUACGGAGGGCGCAAGCGUUACUCGGAAUCACUGGGCGUAAAGAGCGUGUAGGCGGAUUAAAAAGUCAGAAGUGAAAUCCUAUAGCUUAACUAUAGAACUGCUUCUGAAACUCUUAAUCUAGAAUAUGGGAGAGGUAGAUGGAAUUUCUGGUGUAGGAGUAAAAUCCGUAGAGAUCAGAAGGAAUACCGAUUGCGAAGGCGAUCUACUAGAACAUUAUUGACGCUGAGACGCGAAAGCGUGGGGAGCAAACAGGAUUAGAUACCCGCGUAGUC
rnacentral:rRNA from 1 species